UUCAGCCAGCUCUUCUUAGGGCUGCACAGGACGCCCUCCUGCAUUUUGAUGAUGCUCCCACCGGCUCAGGAUAAGGCCCACAGGAGGCAGCAAUACAGGCUGAAGAAACAGGCAGUGCCCUCAGAGAUCCCCAUCUGCCUCGUGGGAGGCGCAGACAUGACGUGCCAUCCUGAAGACAACAGCCUAGUGGACGUCACCCCCUGGCGACCUUUCAAAGCAGUAUCUUCCCAUUCUGCCCGGUCCUGCUCGGGGGCUGGAUCCAGAGUUGAAGGAGAGCCCAAGCCCUCUGGAGAAGCACACGCAGAAAUCACGGUGACAACCUGUCCCUUCAGUCUGCAGGUGCAGAGUCGGGGCACCUGGGCUCAGACUCCAGUUCUGCCACCUACCACCGAUCUGAACCUCCCUGCAUCUCUGUUCCCUCAUCUGUAAAACCGGGAGAAGACACCCACCCCUUCUGGCCAUUGAAGGGAUUCAAUGAGUUAACCCACAUAAAGGGCUUAAGAGGUGUAGGCGGGACCCUGGAAGCCUUCCAGGAUUGGAUUCCUUCAAGGAACUUCUUUCUUCUACCUUUCUCUGAUGUGAAGGCCCAAGACCAUCGCCAUCCCCUUGCCCUGCUUCCUAUCUUACACAGGAGGAAACAGGCCCAGGGAGGAGAGAGAGGUCAGGAGGGGAUAGGCGUUCUGGAAGGGCCAAGGGCUCCGUGAGGGUGGA